GUAAAAGUCGUAACAAGGUUUCCGUAGGUGAACCUGCGGAAGGAUCAUUACCUAGAGUUUGUAGACUUCGGUCUGCUACCUCUUACCCAUGUCUUUUGAGUACCUUCGUUUCCUCGGCGGGUCCGCCCGCCGAUUGGACAACAUUCAAACCCUUUGCAGUUGCAAUCAGCGUCUGAAAAAACAUAAUAGUUACAACUUUCAACAACGGAUCUCUUGGUUCUGGCAUCGAUGAAGAACGCAGCGAAAUGCGAUAAGUAGUGUGAAUUGCAGAAUUCAGUGAAUCAUCGAAUCUUUGAACGCACAUUGCGCCCCUUGGUAUUCCAUGGGGCAUGCCUGUUCGAGCGUCAUUUGUACCUUCAAGCUCUGCUUGGUGUUGGGUGUUUGUCUCGCCUCUGCGUGUAGACUCGCCUUAAAACAAUUGGCAGCCGGCGUAUUGAUUUCGGAGUGCAGUACAUCUCGCGCUUUGCACUCAUAACGACGACGACCAAAAGUACAUUUUUACACUCUUGACCUCGGAUCAGGUAGGGAUACCCGCUGAACUUAAGCAUAUCA
rnacentral:rRNA from 1 species